CCCUAAUCAGGCGAGAGGAUAUAUAUAAAGAUAAAACGCAGGGCGAGAGGAUAUAUACAAAGAUAAAAGAUCAGGACGAAACGCAAUCGAUUGCACAACUUAUUGCCGCUGGACACCAUCCACAUCAUCGCCUUCCGAAGCACAAACACCGUCCCAUCGCCGCCGUAACGCCGAUCGACUCGCAGAUCACACCAGCAACAGCGCCCUCCUCUCGUCGCAGCAACAGCGCCCUCCGUUCUCUGAGUAUCGCACGAAAUGGCAGGCCAAUAUGCUUAUUUUGCAUGUUUUCAAAACCUCUAUCGUGUUAAAAUUAAAAUUCCUUCCUCUCCUUCAUCGUGCGAAGAAGAAGUCAAGCUUGAGCUUGUAGCUUCCGAUCUUCCAUACUUUAUGGCACUCUUCAAUCAUGGACAUACUCUGUAUGCUGUUGGUGGCGUAGACGGCGUAGACCUAUAUACAGAAUCAUAUAGGCGCCAGAGGUUGAUUUUUGACUUUGAUCCCAGUAGGUUCCCCCAAUUACCUAUCGAAAAUCCUGACAGUCUCACCGGUCGAUUUUCAAUCCAUGGAGUGUCCUCGUGUGAUUCGAGGAGAUGAUGACCGAAUUUACCUACUCUCGAAGAACCAUAGUUGCUUUAAGCCUAUACUCGAGGGGCAAUUCUGUUUCCAGUCUUUUGAUUUCGUCAAAGAUUGCUUUGAAACCCUUCCACCCCCUCCUCUCGCACCUGAUCAUGCCUUAGAUUUAGAUCGCACCUUAGAUCGCUUCUUCACACUGGGCCACUUUGUUCUUAGGGGAUAUCUAUAUUUGCUCAUUAGUAACCCACUGAGUUCCAAAUACCCUAAGAGUGCCUUUACUUUCAACAUCAAAUCCUCAAAAUGGGAGGAGAAGUCUUUGCUAGCCCAAUUUGAAGAGAAGGAAAUUCCUCCUCCCUUUGGUCACAAUGGUGACAUAGGGCUUUCAGAUGAAUUUUCUGAAAAUAUUCUGAUGGAUUCUGGUUGCCUAUUGUUAUACUGAGCUUUAUGCAUAUUGUGUCAAGAUUCAUGCGGAAGGUGUUCUUGAGUUCAUAUCUUACCGGGCUAUAAAUGAAAUUCAUUGUGUUGGAGAGGAUGGGGAUGGCUUAAAAUGUGAUCUGACACAACUAGCUGACCUGGGAGGUGACAAAUUUUGUGUGGUUACUGGUUCCCAUGCGAUAGAUGUCUUAAUCUACGUGUUCGAAAUAAAUUUUGAUCUUGAAUAUCACAUUCAAUCCUCCCGAAGUAGAGUUGGAGCCUCCUCAGGAAUCCUUUACUACAAGAAAUUCCAGCCUGGGAGUAAUAUUCAAUCUUUUUGUAUUGUCUCUGCCCCUCCAGCAAUUGAAGACCAAGACAGGGUGGAGAACACAACUAAAAGGGAGAGAAGUGGGGAUGAAACCGUGCAUAAGGCCAAGUUCCUCCGUUCUUUAUGAGUGGUGUGUUGUUUGAUGUGGGCAUGGCCAUGCUUGGUGCCUUGGACCGACCAUCUUUUUAAUUCAGCUUUAGUUGUGAAUGGCCAGAAGUUUACUUUUUUGGGUUUAUGUACAUAUUCAUAAGCUUUUUUAUUGAACCAUGAAUUUGUAGUUAUAUGCCUUGGCACAGAAACUUAACUGCCAACUAUUGUUUUGUUUCUACCUUUUACAACACAAGGCAAAUUAUAUGGGGGAUGAAUCUGUUCUGGAGCUUAUGGAAUGCUAAAAAGUUAAUUUAGCUGUUCAUUAUGUAUAGAGAAAUGGUGCAUAUUUACUCUUAACAGUAUAUUAUAUUUUACAUAUAUGCCCCAUCUA